AUUCGCUAGUAAUCGCGCAUCAGCCAUGGCGCGGUGAAUACGUUCCCGGGCCUUGUACACACCGCCCGUCAAGCCAUGGGAGCCGGGGGUGCCUGAAGUUCGUGACCGCAAGGAGCGACCUAGGGCAAAACUGGUGACUGGGGCUAAGUCGUAACAAGGUACC
rnacentral:rRNA from 1 species